UACAGAGGUCUCGAGCGUUAGGCGGAAUCACUGGGCUUAAAGCGUGCGUAGGUGGUUCGUUGUGUCUGUGGUGAAAGCCCCGGGCUUAACCUGGGAAUGGCCAUGGAAACUGGCGAGCUGGAGUGUGGCAGAGGGGGGUGGAAUUCCGCGUGUAGCAGUGAAAUGCGUAGAGAUGCGGAGGAACACCGAUGGCGAAGGCAGCCCCCUGGGCUAACACUGACGCUGAGGCACGAAAGCGUGGGGAGCAAACAGG
rnacentral:rRNA from 1 species